rnacentral:rRNA from 1 species
AUGAGAGGAGAAUUCAAUGGUUUGCAAAAGCUAAUUCGUGACGAGAGUCCAUAUGCUUUCUUUGUUCACUGUUUUGCUCAUCAGUUGCAAUUGGUGGUUGUCACAGUGGCUCAGUGUUGUCUAGUUGUUGCUGAUUUUUUUAACUAUCUUCCCUUGAUAGUGACUCAAGUAGGUUCAUCUUGCAAAAGAAAAGAUGCAUUAGUUGCAAAGCAUCAUGACAACUUGAUAGAAUUGAUGGAGAAUUGUAAGAUAUCAUCUGGAACUGGUUUACAUCAAGAAACUAACCUUGCUAGACCAGGAGCUACUCGUUGGGGCUCACAUCUUAGAACUUUGCUUCGUAUCUACACAAUGUGGAAUGCAGUGGUGGAUGUGCUAGCAAUUGUGGUGGACGAUGCCAGAGAAGACUCUUCUCAAGGUGGAGCUUCGGGUUUGAUUGUACAAAUGGAAUGCAUUCAAUUUGUGUUCAUCAUGCUAUUCUUGAUAAACUUGUUGAACAUCACAAAUAUGCUAUCACAAACUUUGCAAAGGAAGAAUCAAGAUGUUGUUGAAGCCCUUCGUUUGAUCUUGGAUGUGAAAGAAGCUUUGCAAAAUAUGAGGGACAAUGGUGUGUCCGGGGCGUUACACCAAGCAAAUAACUUCUGUGAGGAACAUGGCAUUGAGGUGCCAAAUAUGGAUGAUCUUGUUGGAGCUAUGGGACAAUCUGUUCGUUCCAAAAAUAAGGUGACUCGACAUCAUUAUUUCAAGGUUAGCAUAUUCAAUGUUGCUAUUGAUGCAACUCUCACUAAGAUGAAUCAUCAAUUUAAUGAAGCUAACACCGAGUUAGUGGAUUGCAUGUCUUGUCUUAAUCCGGCAAACAACUUCUCAAAGUUUAACAUUGACAAGCUUAUUCGGCUUGCUGAAAUUUAUGCUGAGGAUUUUACGCAAGCUGAACGGUUGUUGCUAAGAUAUGAGCUUCCAACAUUCCUUACAAAUAUUAGGAGAAGUGAGGAAUUUAAUGCAUGUUCGGAUGUUUCUACCCCUGCUUGGUUGAUGGUUCAAACAACAAAAUAUAGAACUUUCCAAUUGGUAUAUCGCCUCAUCGAGUUGACAUUGAUUCUUCCAGUGGCAACUUCAUCGGUCGAGAGGAUAUUUUCAGCAAUGAAGAUCAUCAAAACUGAUUUGCGCAAUAAGUUAUCAGAUGAUUGGCUUAAUGAUUUAAUGGUUUGCUAUUGUGAGAAAAGGAUAUUCAGAAGUAUUCCCGAUGAUCAAAUUAUGAUACGAUUCCAGAAAGAUCGAAAAGUACAUUUGCCUCCUGAGUAUAAUGUGAUUUCUUAG